rnacentral:rRNA from 1 species
GACAGAGGGUGCAAACGUUGUUCGGAAUUACUGGGCGUAAAGCGCGUGUAGGCUGCUCUGUGUGUCGGAUGUGAAAGCCCCGGGCUCAACCUGGGAAGUGCACUCGAAACUACAGAGCUGGAGUCUCGGAGAGGAUCGCGGAAUUCUCGGUGUAGAGGUGAAAUUCGUAGAUAUUGGGAAGAACACCGGUGGCGAAGGCGGCGACCUGGUCCAUUACUGACGCUGAGGCGCGACAGCGUGGGGAGCAAACAGG